AGAGCGAACGCUGGCGGCAGGCUUAACACAUGCAAGUCGAGCGGGCGUAGCAAUACGUCAGCGGCAGACGGGUGAAUAACGCGUGGGAACAUACCUUUUGGUUCGGAACAACACAGGGAAACUUGUGCUAAUACCGGAUAAGCCCUUACGGGGAAAGAUUUAUCGCCGAAAGAUUGGCCCGCGUCUGAUUAGCUAGUUGGUGAGGUAACGGCUCACCAAGGCGACGAUCAGUAGCUGGUCUGAGAGGAUGAUCAGCCACAUUGGGACUGAGACACGGCCCAAACUCCUACGGGAGGCAGCAGUGGGGAAUAUUGGACAAUGGGCGCAAGCCUGAUCCAGCCAUGCCGCGUGAGUGAUGAAGGCCCUAGGGUUGUAAAGCUCUUUUGUGCGGGAAGAUAAUGACGGUACCGCAAGAAUAAGCCCCGGCUAACUUCGCGCCAGCAGCCGC
rnacentral:rRNA from 1 species